rnacentral:rRNA from 1 species
CGGCGAGUGAAGCGGUAACAGCUCAAAUUUGAAAGCUAGCUCUUUUAGGGUUCGCAUUGUAAUUUGUAGAAGAUGCUUCGGGUGUGGCCCCGGUCUAAGUUCCUUGGAACAGGACGUCAUAGAGGGUGAGAAUCCCGUAUGUGACUGGGUGCUUUCGCUCAUGUGAAGCUCUUUCGACGAGUCGAGUUGUUUGGGAAUGCAGCUCAAAAUGGGUGGUAAAUUUCAUCUAAAGCUAAAUAUUGGCCAGAGACCGAUAGCGCACAAGUAGAGUGAUCGAAAGAUGAAAAGCACUUUGGAAAGAGAGUUAAACAGUACGUGAAAUUGUUGAAAGGGAAGCGCUUGCAACCAGACUUGCGCGCUGAUGAUCAUCCGGGCUUCUGUCCGGUGCACUCGUCUGCGCUCAGGCCAGCAUCGGUUUCGGUGGUGGGAUAAAGGCCUUGGGAAUGUAGCUCCUCUCGGGGAGUGUUAUAGCCCUCGGUGCAAUGCCGCCUAUCGGGACCGAGGACCGCGCUUCGGCUAGGAUGCUGGCGUAAUGGUUGUAAGCGACCCGUCUUGAAACACGGACCAAGGAGUCUAACAUCUAUGCGAGUGUUUGGGUGUCAAACCCAUACGCGUAAUGAAAGUGAACGGAGGUGAGAACCCUUAAGGGUGCAUCAUCGACCGGUCCUGAUGUCUUCGGAUGGAUCUGAGUAAGAGCAUAGCUGUUGGGACCCGAAAGAUGGUGAACUAUGCGUGAAUAGGGUGAAGCCAGAGGAAACUCUGGUGGAGGCUCGCAGCGGUUCUGACGUGCAAAUCGAU